rnacentral:lncRNA from 1 species
CUGAAAUAAUGUCUAAUUUGGUCGUCUGCGUAAAAAGAACGUAAACAUUCCGUAGGAAAAACGUCAGUAAACAUUUUUGUAUAUAAGAAGAUAAUUCGUUCACUAGGUUAGAAGUGCGGAUUAUUUCGAUGGUGAAAGUCGGAACUUACUAGUCUGGCGAACAGUAUGAGGAAAAAGACAAGGGAUAGUGACAUAAAAAGCAAGCCACCCGAGAAAAUACCAAUGUCAGGGAAAAUCCGGGUCAGUUCUGCAUAAAGAAUGAGAAAGAGUUUGACCUAAAUCAUAACUGAAUACCCUAUGUAUAUUUCUAUGUCUUGAUCUGGUUUUGAAAACUCAAAGAAUGCGUUAUGAACAAGCGAAUAGCAACCGUUAUGAAAACUCGUUUGGAUAGUUUCCAAUUCUGCACUUUUUGUGCAAAACGUUUGCCAACCGUAUUUUUAACGUUGUUAAAACGUUGUCAGAGCUAUAAGUGGAAACGCUUUACAAACCCCAGUUCCAUUCAGUUUAGCAGACGAUGUCCACACGUUUGGGUGACGUUUUCUUCUUUGCCGUCAUGUGACUGAAAUAAAGAUGAAUUAAAUGACAAAACAGUAUAACAUCUACAAGCUUCAGUUCCGUUAACAGAGAUAAAUAUUCCGUUGAAAAUGAAUAUUCUUAUUCUUUUAAAGAUACCUUGUCUUUAAACGAGAAACGUACGUUUUUAUAGAUUAACACAUUGAUCAAAAUUGAUCACGAAAAAUAUCGACAACAGAGAUGACAUCAUGGAGAGACGGGAUGCAUACCUCUUACUUCAACAAAUCACCACAAAAGGCAUCAAUUUCAGCUUCGGUACAUUAUUAUUUUUCAAAAUGAUACCAAUUGAAGACGUCUUUGUUGGCUAUUUUUGAAGUAAUAGCAUCAGUCUACGCGUUUUGGGAAUGACCCCUAUACUUUAAAGUUGUCUAUAAAACAAAUACUCGCAUCAAAUAGGAAAGCCGCACUCAAAGAACGCACUCCUUCCUUUACAAUGAAACCCUAUCAUGACAGUGUUUGUACGGAUGUGUACAUAAUAUUGUACAAUAAUACAUAGCCAUAUCUAGAUAAAGAAAAUAUGAUAGGGCAACACCCCUGAAAGAUGACAGAAAAAAAACACCAGUUACAAGUCCAAGCCAAAUAAUGAAGCGCAAAAAAACACUUAUUCUUAAUCUCAAUCAUACACUGAAUAUAUAGGAAAUGUAACUAAACGUUGUUACAGUUAGGUGAAACCUGAACACAUUUACUGGGCAUGUAAAACAUGAAACUGCUCGUAUAUGGUACAUAAAGUGCAACACAGAAUGCUCGGUGGCGCAAGGAGAUUAGUAAGCUGUCCGAGUUAUCCAGAGUUUCAAAUCCAGAAAAUUAAUACUAAUUGCCUUUGUCGAAGACAGGCGGCAAAGAAAGAAUUAGACAGAUUGACGAUGCGUUCUAUAAAAUCGUUCAAAUUAUACCUUAAAGUCAUAACUAGAUAUCAUUUCUUGUUACCUGUUCAGUGAACAUGGCUAUUCAUUAUCGUACAAAUAAGAAGAUUAAAUUGUAAUGUAAGAUUUUUUAUAAAACCUGAUAAAAACAAGGAACUCGGUUAACCUGUUUAUACUUAUAAAAAGCUGUAGCAAAAGCAAAAGCAAUUCUGUUUUAGCAGUGAUAAUACCCGUCCGUAAAUAACUCAAGUCAUUUGUCCAUAAUCUUUAUGCAAGUAAAGACAAGGAUAAAUAUCAAACAGGGAAUGCCACGUUCCAAAAACGCUGCCUCCCCAAAACGAAAUUCACAGCGUUCAGAUGUGCACACUGCCAAGACACACACUCACACACAAAGCAGACACAUGAGGACAAAACGAACAAAUAAAGGAACAAAGUGGGGCACCGCCUUGUAACGGUCAGUGUCAAAAACACCACCGGGGAGCUUAAUCCGGUUUAUGGUGCGCACCCAACCUCAGUCUUACCCCCCACCGUGUUCCAAAGUCACGGGACAGUGUAAAUAAAAGUAAUUCCCGCCAGAUGAAUCUCUAACACACGCAUUGGAAACAAAAGGCAUGGCAUGUAAAACACAAAAAUGCUCCUGUAUAAUCGUAUAAAAAGCAAAUCUAAGAACCAAAAUCGUAUGUACUCAAUGCCUUUCCAGAAGACAGAGCAUCAAGAGAAACACCAUUAAGAGCCCGACGAAACAGGCCGGAAGACAGAAAUCAAAACAGUUCAGUUCUGGUGGGAUUUAAAAACUGCUUAACACAGAGUCCUCCCCGUCUUCCUUCAGACACAGUCAAAGAGGGAGGCGUAGUGUCAAACUGUAAACGGAUUGAACACUAAACAUGCACCCUAUACACACGUUUCUUUUUCAUAAUAUAUUUAGACACAAACAUUGGGAGAAUAAUCCAGUUCAGAAUGUACGCACAGUUAAUAAAUUAAACUUACACCUUUAAGUUAUUUUAGGCAAGAAAUUACAAUUGUGAUUAAAACACAUUUUGGGGGACAAACUGUCAUUUAAAUUGAUACAAGUAGGUAACUAUACUUGAUAAUUGACGCACUAUGUACUUGAAUGACCGGCGAUAUUUUCUCAUAUGUUAUUCUAGAUGUCAUAAUAACACACCUAGCACUUUUGUUUGUUAAUGAUAUUGUACACAAAGCACUACAAACAAGGUUUAGUGUCCGUGGUUUUUAAAUUCGUGUACGCUCAAUAUACC